AAUCCAUAGGUUAAUGAGGCGAACCGGGGGAACUGAAACAUCUAAGUACCCCGAGGAAAAGAAAUCAACCGAGAUUCCCCCAGUAGCGGCGAGCGAACGGGGAGGAGCCCAGAGCCUGAAUCAGCAUGUGUGUUAGUGGAAGCGUCUGGAAAGGCGCGCGAUACAGGGUGACAGCCCCGUACACAAAAGCGCAUGUGCUGUGAGCUCGAUGAGUAGGGCGGGACACGUGGUAUCCUGUCUGAAUAUGGGGGGACCAUCCUCCAAGGCUAAAUACUCCUGACUGACCGAUAGUGAACCAGUACCGUGAGGGAAAGGCGAAAAGAACCCCGGCGAGGGGAGUGAAAAAGAACCUGAAACCGUGUACGUACAAGCAGUGGGAGCACAGGUUUACCUGUGUGACUGCGUACCUUUUGUAUAAUGGGUCAGCGACUUAUAUUCUGUAGCAAGGUUAACCGUAUAGGGGAGCCGUAGGGAAACCGAGUCUUAACCGGGCGUUAAGUUGCAGGGUAUAGACCCGAAACCCGGUGAUCUAGCCAUGGGCAGGUUGAAGGUUGGGUAACACUAACUGGAGGACCGAACCGACUAAUGUUGAAAAAUUAGCGGAUGACCUGUGGCUGGGGGUGAAAGGCCAAUCAAACCGGGAGAUAGCUGGUUCUCCCCGAAAGCUAUUUAGGUAGCGCCUCGUGAAUUCAUCUCCGGGGGUAGAGCACUGUUUCGGCUAGGGGGCCAUCCCGGCUUACCAACCCGAUGCAAACUGCGAAUACCGGAGAAUGUUAUCACGGGAGACACACGGCGGGUGCUAACGUCCGUCGUGAAGAGGGAAACAACCCAGACCGCCAGCUAAGGUCCCAAAGUCAUGGUUAAGUGGGAAACGAUGUGGGAAGGCCCAGACAGCCAGGAUGUUGGCUUAGAAGCAGCCAUCAUUUAAAGAAAGCGUAAUAGCUCACUGGUCGAGUCGGCCUGCGCGGAAGAUGUAACGGGGCUAAACCAUGCACCGAAGCUGCGGCAGCGAACGUAUCACCCAAGACAACUUUACGGAGUUGACGAUUGACGGAGCGAAGCGACGUCAAAGCGUUCAUUAAAGUCGAGUUGGCUUAGGGAUACGUUCGUUGGGUAGGGGAGCGUUCUGUAAGCCUGUGAAGGUGUGUCGUGAGGCAUGCUGGAGGUAUCAGAAGUGCGAAUGCUGACAUAAGUAACGAUAAAGCGGGUGAAAAGCCCGCUCGCCGGAAGACCAAGGGUUCCUGUCCAACGUUAAUCGGGGCAGGGUGAGUCGACCCCUAAGGCGAGGCCGAAAGGCGUAGUCGAUGGGAAACGGGUUAAUAUUCCCGUACUUGGUGUUACUGCGAAGGGGGGACGGAGAAGGCUAUGUUGGCCGGGCGACGGUUGUCCCGGUUUAAGCGUGUAGGUGUGUGUUCCAGGUAAAUCCGGUUCACUUUAACACUGAGGCGUGACGACGAGGCACUACGGUGCUGAAGCAACAAAUGCCCUGCUUCCAGGAAAAGCCUCUAAGCAUCAGGUAACAUCAAAUCGUACCCCAAACCGACACAGGUGGUCAGGUAGAGAAUACCAAGGCGCUUGAGAGAACUCGGGUGAAGGAACUAGGCAAAAUGGUGCCGUAACUUCGGGAGAAGGCACGCUGACACGUAGGUGAAGUGAUUUACUCAUGGAGCUGAAGUCAGUCGAAGAUACCAGCUGGCUGCAACUGUUUAUUAAAAACACAGCACUGUGCAAACACGAAAGUGGACGUAUACGGUGUGACGCCUGCCCGGUGCCGGAAGGUUAAUUGAUGGGGUCAGCGCAAGCGAAGCUCCUGAUCGAAGCCCCGGUAAACGGCGGCCGUAACUAUAACGGUCCUAAGGUAGCGAAAUUCCUUGUCGGGUAAGUUCCGACCUGCACGAAUGGCGUAAUGAUGGCCAGGCUGUCUCCACCCGAGACUCAGUGAAAUUGAACUCGCUGUGAAGAUGCAGUGUACCCGCGGCAAGACGGAAAGACCCCGUGAACCUUUACUAUAGCUUGACACUGAACAUUGAGCCUUGAUGUGUAGGAUAGGUGGGAGGCUUUGAAGUGUGGACGCCAGUCUGCAUGGAGCCGACCUUGAAAUACCACCCUUUAAUGUUUGAUGUUCUAACGUGGACCCGUAAUCCGGGUUGCGGACAGUGUCUGGUGGGUAGUUUGACUGGGGCGGUCUCCUCCUAAAGAGUAACGGAGGAGCACGAAGGUUGGCUAAUCCUGGUCGGACAUCAGGAGGUUAGUGCAAUGGCAUAAGCCAGCUUGACUGCGAGCGUGACGGCGCGAGCAGGUGCGAAAGCAGGUCAUAGUGAUCCGGUGGUUCUGAAUGGAAGGGCCAUCGCUCAACGGAUAAAAGGUACUCCGGGGAUAACAGGCUGAUACCGCCCAAGAGUUCAUAUCGACGGCGGUGUUUGGCACCUCGAUGUCGGCUCAUCACAUCCUGGGGCUGAAGUAGGUCCCAAGGGUAUGGCUGUUCGCCAUUUAAAGUGGUACGCGAGCUGGGUUUAGAACGUCGUGAGACAGUUCGGUCCCUAUCUGCCGUGGGCGCUGGAGAACUGAGGGGGGCUGCUCCUAGUACGAGAGGACCGGAGUGGACGCAUCACUGGUGUUCGGGUUGUCAUGCCAAUGGCACUGCCCGGUAGCUAAAUGCGGAAGAGAUAAGUGCUGAAAGCAUCUAAGCACGAAACUUGCCCCGAGAUGAGUUCUCCCUGAGACUUAGAGUCUCCUGAAGGAACGUUGAAGACGACGACGUUGAUAGGCCGGGUGUGUAAGCGCAGCGAUGCGUUGAGCUAACCGGUACUAAUGAACCGUGAGGCUUAACCUUACAACGCCGAAG
rnacentral:rRNA from 2 species